AUUGAACGCUGGCGGCAGGCCUAACACAUGCAAGUCGAGCGGAUGAAGGGAGCUUGCUCCUGGAUUCAGCGGCGGACGGGUGAGUAAUGCCUAGGAAUCUGCCUGGUAGUGGGGGAUAACGUCCGGAAACGGGCGCUAAUACCGCAUACGUCCUGAGGGAGAAAGUGGGGGAUCUUCGGACCUCACGCUAUCAGAUGAGCCUAGGUCGGAUUAGCUAGUUGGUGGGGUAAAGGCCUACCAAGGCGACGAUCCGUAACUGGUCUGAGAGGAUGAUCAGACACACUGGAACUGGGACACGGUCCAGACUCCUACGGGAGGCAGCAGUGGGGAAUAUUGGACAAUGGGCGAAAGCCUGAUCCAGCCAUGCCGCGUGUGUGAAGAAGGUCUUCGGAUUGUAAAGCACUUUAAGUUGGGAGGAAGGGCAGUAAGUUAAUACCUUGCUGUUUUGACGUUACCAACAGAAUAAGCACCGGCUAACUUCGUG
rnacentral:rRNA from 1 species